ACCUUCAUCGGUUGCUAAAAAAAGAAGCCCUCCUCCCGUAUCCCUAACCUUGUGACGCCUACCAUCGGCCGCCACUUCCCAUGGAUCGCGCCGCCGCUUCCCAUGGAUCGUGCCGCCGCUCUGCUCACCAGCGUAGUCGUCACUGCCCACCGCAUCCAGCCGCUGUCGCAUCUCACCGCCUCCACCGCCCCCAUGAAUCACCGCCUCCUCUCUCUUGGACCAGCAUGCUGCGGUGGAUGCUUCCGGUCCCGUUGUGGCGACACGGCUGGUCAAGGGAACGCGGUGAGGCGGAUUGUGUCCCGUUCGUUGAUCUGCCCCACUUGCUGCUGCUCCUCUCCCAUCGACCAUCACAUCAACAUUUACUGCGACACACGACGUUCUCCUCUUCUGCGGCGAUGCUUAUAAGCGACAAUAACGGUGUCCUAUUGUGGCCCAACACUCAUCGGACCGCUGAGGCACGGAAGUGCCCGGAGAAGAUCGCUCUCCGCUUAGCAAAUUCCACCGUGUUCUGAAUGGCUGCCCGACAAGACGCUCUGCCGGAUGUUCAUCAUCAGCGCCAGUCAUGGGUUCAGGCUCCUGUGGAACUCAUGGCAUCAACCAUAUGAACCUGCAUGUAUUUGAUAGUUUGCUUGAUCAGUUUUAUGCCUUCCACUACAGCUAUGGCUACUACGCAACUUCAUUGAGAUUUUUUCUAUAGGACUUGGAUUAGUAAUCCCCAACAAUACGGUCACGCUUCUUAUAAUUACUUUCAGGUAUAAAUACAUUAGUGAUUUUCUGUAUGUUGUACUACUAAACUGUGUGCUAUACCAAGCAUGACAUCUGCGCCUUUUCAGAUAUGCAUGCAUUUUUCAAGAGAAUUUAUCUAAUAUGUAGUAUAUAGAAAGGUACCUAAAAUGUUAGCUUAUAUUGCCAACUCUUGAAAGUAUACGUGCCUUUUACUUUUUUUGCCAUGAACCAUGGGAUUUCAUGAAUAAUACUCAAUGCAUUGCUUACUGUUGUCCAGUGUACUACAGUUUAGUAUGAAGAACUUGACCUUUGUUUGACAAGAAAAUGUCGGCUAAUUCCCACACGGACUGACUUUCGAGAACCAAUUUAGGUUGUGAUCAUUAGUGCGUCUUCAAAGCUGCUUGACAUAACAUAACGUUUGAUUUUUACUAAUCUGAAAUCAAGCCUAAGCAAUGUUAAGUAGACCUUUGAAUUCUUAAUAAGGAAAUUACACAAUCUGUUCUGUGUGCCGUAGGAUUAGUGUUGUUUGAAGACGUUUUUCUUCUUACCAAUCAGGUUGAUGAUUUUAACUGUCGAUGCAGACGCUGUGCCGGAUGUUCAUCAUCGGUGCCAGUCAUGGGUUCAGGCUCCUGUGGAACUCAUGGCAUCGACCAUAUGAACCUUCAUGUAUUUGAUAGUUUGCUCGAUCAGUUUUAUGCCUUCCGCUACAGCUAAGGCUACUACGCAGCUUCAUUGAGAUUUUUCUGUAGGACUUGGAUUAAUAAUCUUCAACAAUACGGUCAUGCUUCUUAUAAUUACUUUCAGGUAUAAAUACAUUUGUGAUUUUCUGUAUGUUGUGCUACUAAACUGUGUGCUAUACCAAGCAUGACAUCUGCGCCUUUUCAGAUAUGCAUGGAUUUUUCAAGAGAAUUUAUUUAAUAUGUAGUAUAUAGCUAGAAAGCUACCUAAAUGUUAGCUUAUAUUGCCAACUCUUGAAAAUAUACGGACCUUUUACUUUUUUUGCCGUGAACCUAGGGAGCUUGGGACGGAGUAGGUGUCAAUAGUCGGUAUAUACCAGAACAUUUUUUUUAUGAUUGCUAGAACAAUAUUUCUGCGAUAUUGUAUAUACUAACAUAGUGACUGUGGAGUACUAAUUCAAAGUAUAUACUAUUGUACUGUAUUUUGUCUAUAUACCAUCUAUAUCAAAGUAGUACGUACACUGCUCUUUGUGCACGGCAGUAUGUAGCAUACAAAAUUAAAUCAAAUGGGUAUAUAACAUACACUUUGAUAAAGUAAGUAUAUACUUUUUUUCUGGUACAGUAUAUACAACAUUUUUGUAAGGCAAUAUAUAGUACUCUUUAAGUGAACCAGUAUACUACUUUUUUUAUUCAGUAUAUACAUAAUCUUUUAGUCGAUAUAUACUACUCUUUCUGAGUAGGUAUAUACUACUAUUCUUGAUAUAUAAGGCAACCUGCAAAUUCCACGCCGCCGCCAUUGUCGACUAGAAGGUGGUACCGUCGCAUGGAUCUACCAGUGCAUGCCAUGCCAACAUUGUUUCUUAUUACCACCGUUGUUGACGAUAUUGGUGGUGCCGUCACAUGGAUCAAUCAGUGCACCCCAUGCUGUCGCUUUGUCGACGAGAUGGAAAUGCCGUCUUAUCCAUCGAUCAGUGCACCUACUUAUUAACGUCGCAUCGGCUAUGUGACUAGCUGCGUCAGUGGCUUUGCACCUCGAUCCAGAUUAGUUUCAUGCAAAGCCUGUCAUGUUUGCCUUUUGUGCAGGAAUAGGCAAGCACAACAGAAGACCUGAUCAUAGACACUCAUAGUCUGAGGUAAAUACUCCUUCGACGCAAGCUGUCACAUUGUUUUCUUUUAUCUUGAAAACUGUAAAUUUAUUUAAAAAAUUGUGGUAACAAAUUUAUUAAGUUAUUACGUGGGAGAGACCAUCAACUAAUAAUAAUAUAAAACAAGGGUAGGCUAGGAAAAAGAUACAUCAUUCUUAGAAAAUUGUGCUAACAAAGUUGUUAAGUUAUUACGUGGGAGAGACUCAACUAAUAAUAUAAAAACAAGGGUAGGCAGUAUUAUCGGAAAGAUUGGACGCUACUUCUUCCUCCAGGCCCGAAAGAGAUCACGCUUCUCCACCAUCUCUUCCUCUCCUGGUUUAUCUUGAAUACACAAUAACUUUGGAUUUGAGAUCACUUUGUUUUGUACCAUGUGCUUGGAUAGUGUUGUGCUCUCCAGGGAUGCAAUCCCGGCUCUUCUCACUAGAACCUAUGGAUACCUCAUGGAGAUUUGUUGGAGCAUAAUCUUCUAAUGUACAACCUAUGUAUACAUAUGGACAUCGGAGGGAGCAUAAUUAUGAUCAUCAAGCGAGCUUAUAAAAACCUGCUGUCUAAACAGACUACAGCGGCAUGAAGGAGGCUAAUGUCAGUUGUCAACGUCGUCACUGGUCAAGUUACUAAUCAGUUUUUGUAUCGACAAAACAUGUCCAGGACCCUCUAUGGGAGAGUUAACAUCUUCAAUGGCCUUCCCAAUCUCCAGUUACGGCUGAUGUUGUUGCUUGAUAUGCUGGUCCGCCACAAUCUCCUGUUCAUGGAAGUUCCUUG